rfam:Selenomonas ruminantium strain C3 genome assembly, contig: IE42DRAFT_scaffold00001.1
AUUUGUCUUUGAGGCGGGGGGCAGUUCCCCACCGGCGGUAUAGCCCGCAAGCCCUUAUUUCUUCUAGGGCACGAUUCGGUGAAAUUCCGAAGCCGACCGUAUAGUCGGGAUGAGAAAAGGCAUGU